rnacentral:tRNA from 1 species
UGUCAAGGGAUGGGCAUCGAACCCACGACCUUCCGCCUUACCGGGCAGAUGCCAUGACCACUAGGCUACCCUGGAC